GCUCGCGUUAGCAGUACAAUUUCACCUGCUCCUUUUUAUUUUGAGAUUAGUGUGAUGACAAAACGCCACUAACUUGCAAACAACCGAGUGUGCCACGCCCCCCCUAUCUUCUUCCUGGCCGUGGAUUGUGUGCAAACAUUGAUAUUUGGUGUCGGUUUAAAGAACUCAAAAUUAUUUGUUUAUUAUGUAAAUAAAUUGUAUAUAUGGUUAAAA
rnacentral:lncRNA from 1 species